UACGGAGGGUGCGAGCGUUGUUCGGAAUCACUGGGCGUAAAGCGCGUGUAGGCGGUCCGUUAAGUCUGAUGUGAAAGCCCGGGGCUCACCCCCGGAAGUGCAUUGGAAACUGACGGACUGGAGUCCCGGAGAGGAGGGUGGAAUUCCUGGUGUAGCGGUGAAAUGCGUAGAUAUCAGGAGGAACACCGGUGGCGAAGGCGGCCCUCUGGACGGUGACUGACGCUGAGACGCGAAAGCGUGGGGAGCAAACAGGAUUAGAUACCCUUGUAGU
rnacentral:rRNA from 1 species